rnacentral:rRNA from 1 species
GUGCCAGCAGCCGCGGUAAGACAGGGGGCUCGAGCGUUAAUCGGAAUCACUGGGCUUAAAGGGUGCGUAGGCGGACCGGAAAGCGUCCUGUGAAAUCCCACGGCUCAACCGUGGAACUGCAGGGCGAACUGCCGGUCUUGAGGAAGGUAGGCGCCGACGGAACAGUAGGUGGAGCGGUGAAAUGCGUAGAUAUCUACUGGAACGCCGAUGGUGAAGACGGUCGGCUGGGCCUUUCCUGACGCUGAGGCACGAAAGCGUGGGGAGCAAACAGGAUUAGAAACCCUGGUAGUCC